rnacentral:lncRNA from 1 species
UUUUUAAAUGAUUCUUCCAUAAAAAUGUUUAAAAGGACAACAGCCACCAGCUACAAAACGACACGUGGUCAAAGGAUAAAAAAAAUAAAAAAUAAAAAACAACUUCUUCUUUCUUAAGACUUCCUCUUUCUCUACAUCAAAAACAAUCAAUUUUUUCUUAAAAAUUUAAAAAAACUUCUCUCUCCUAACUCAAUCAAAUCGCUUCCUCAUCAACCAAUAACACAAUAAAUCCCCAAAAAAAAUAAAGAAAGCAGAAAAACAAACUCCCAUCGCCCUUGCACUAUUUUUCGACGCAGGGAGCUCUUAAGGUGUUGUGAUGGCGCGUAUGGAGGAGUCUCGUCGCGGAUAUGGGUGAAGGCGACGCAGUUGAGAUGCAUGAAGGAUUGUUGUUGUAAGUUGUAACAAGGUGGUGGUUUAUUUUUGGGUUGGUCGACGUUAUUAUCAUCGCUGACAGGAGAGGGUAUGGUGAGCUUGUUGUGAGAGGUGUGGUUGAGCCAAUUGGGUGCGGUGUGGAAGGACGGGUGAAGAUCAGAGGUUAUGGUGGUGGCUUGUGUUUGUGAACUUCACGGUGGCGUUACAAGAUGGUCGUAAAAGUAAGAGGUCAGAGCGGAGUUGAAACUCGCUAGAGAGAAGUGUAUGACGGAACACUGGUUGAUUUAUAGUUGUUCAGUUUUCUUUUGCAAUAAGGUCACUUUUGUAAGGAAGGUUAUGUUGUGAAAAUGAAGGGUAUGGUUUUGGUGAGUAGAAAAGGUGUUGUGACUUGUGAGAGGAAAAUGAGAAGUAGUGUGGAAGGAAGGUUGAUCUAUGAAGGAGAGGUAGGUUGUGUUUGGUGUUUUAUGUUGUAUGCGUGUUUGGUUUUGAGUAGUGGAUAUGGUGAUGUAGUGUAUUAUGUUGUUGAUGGUGUAGCUACUGAAUGGAGAAGAGAUACGAUGGAGGAUUGGUUGAGGGAAUGAGUUUAUGGUGGGGGGGUUUUGCGAGUGAAGAUGUAUUGUUUAUUGAGGGAGUUUUGUCGUUUUAAGUGGAUAGGAAGAGU